rnacentral:lncRNA from 1 species
UUUGCUUUUGUUAUUUUUCUAUAUUGUUUCCGUCAACUAUUAUAAUUAUUUUUCAUCUUCAAUUUUGUAUUUAAUAUAAAUUAUAAUUACUACAACAUUUUUUUUUCUUUUAUAAUUUUUUCUUUUUAUGUUUAUUUAUCCUAGUUUUUUUUAUCUAAUUUUGUUAUGUAUUCUGUUAUAUUUUCUUUUAUAUAAAAUUUUAAACCAUUCAUUUUUAUUUAUUUAUUUAUUAUAUUGUAUUUAAAAAUUAUUAUCAAUUUAUAGUUUAAUGUGUCG